rnacentral:hammerhead_ribozyme from 1 species
AUCCGGCUGACGAGUCCCAAAUGGGACGAAAUAGGCGUCUUGAAU